rnacentral:rRNA from 1 species
GAUGAACGCUGGCGGCGUGCCUAAUACAUGCAAGUCGAGCGAACAGACGAGGAGCUUGCUCCUCUGACGUUAGCGGCGGACGGGUGAGUAACACGUGGAUAACCUACCUAUAAGACUGGGAUAACUUCGGGAAACCGGAGCUAAUACCGGAUAAUAUAUUGAACCGCAUGGUUCAAUAGUGAAAGACGGUUUUGCUGUCACUUAUAGAUGGAUCCGCGCCGCAUUAGCUAGUUGGUAAGGUAACGGCUUACCAAGGCAACGAUGCGUAGCCGACCUGAGAGGGUGAUCGCCCACACUCGAACUGAGACACGGUCCAGACUCCUACGGGAGGCAGCAGUAGGGAAUCUUCCGCAAUAGGCGACAGCCUGACGGAGCAACGCCGCAUGAGUGAUGAAGGUCUUCGGAUCGUAAAACUCUGUUAUUAGGGAAGAACAAAUGUGUAAGUAACUAUGCACGUCUUGACGGUACCUAAUCAGAAAGCCACGGCUAACUACGUG